AACGAACGCUGGCGGCGCGCCUAAUACAUGCAAGUCGAGCGAGAAGACGUAGCAAUACGUUUGUAAAGCGGCGAACGGGUGAGGAAUACAUGGGUAACCUACCCUCGAGUGGGGAAUAACUAGCCGAAAGGUUAGCUAAUACCGCGUACGCUCCUUGGACUUCGGUUCAGGGAGGAAAGCGAUACCGUGGGUAUCGCGCUCUUGGAUGGGCUCAUGUCCUAUCAGCUUGUUGGUGAGGUAACGGCUCACCAAGGCUUCGACGGGUAGCUGGUCUGAGAGGACGAUCAGCCACACUGGCACUGCGACACGGGCCAGACUCCUACGGGAGGCAGCAGUAAGGAAUAUUGCGCAAUGGGCGAAAGCCUGACGCAGCGACGCCGCGUGAGGGAUGACGG
rnacentral:rRNA from 1 species